rnacentral:rRNA from 1 species
GACAGAGGUCCCAAGCGUUGUUCGGAUUCACUGGGCGUAAAGGGUGCGUAGGUGGUCGGGUAAGUCUGAUGUGAAAUCUCCGAGCUUAACUCGGAAAUGGCAUUGGAUACUAUUCGGCUGGAGGUUUGGAGGGGGGACUGGAAUUCUCGGUGUAGCAGUGAAAUGCGUAGAUAUCGAGAGGAACACCAGUGGCGAAGGCGAGUCCCUGGACAACACCUGACACUGAGGCACGAAAGCUAGGGGAGCGAAUGGG